GAUGAACGCUGGCGGCGUGCCUAAUACAUGCAAGUCGAGCGAACGGACGAGAAUCUUGCUUCUCUGAUGUUAGCGGCGGACGGGUGAGUAACACGUGGAUAACCUACCUAUAAGACUGGGAUAACUUCGGGAAACCGGAGCUAAUACCGGAUAAUAUUUUGAACCUCAUGGUUCAAAAGUGAAAGACGUUCUUGCUGUCACUUAUAGAUGGAUCCGCGCUGCAUUAGCUAGUUGGUAAGGUAACGGCUUACAAAGGCAACGAUGCAUAGCCGACCUGAGAGGGUGAUCGGCCACACUGGAACUGAGACACGGUCCAGACUCCUACGGGAGGCAGCAGUAGGGAAUCUUCCGCAAUGGGCGAAAGCCUGACGGAGCAACGCCGCGUGAGUGAUGAAGGUCUUCGGAUCGUAAAACUCUGUUAUUAGGGAAGAACAUAUGUGUAAGUAACUGUGCACAUCUUGACGGUACCUAAUCAGAAAGCCACGGCUAACUACGUG
rnacentral:rRNA from 1 species